rnacentral:lncRNA from 1 species
AAAGAACAUAUGGUUGAAAAUGAGUUUUUGAAAAAAUGUAUUUUUGGUUUAAUGGAGACCAAACAAGGGCAAAAUAUUCUUGUUCUUGUUAGAAAAAUUUGGAUCUGGUGCAGCAUUACUUUGUUACCUAAUUUGAACAUCCUGGUUCGGCUGGGAUUUGAUUUAUAUUUUCCUAUUUUUCUUUACUUUUUCUCGUUGCCCAAAAAUCAUUUGGUUCUUGGUCAAAUAAGUGGACCAACUAUACUUUUCUUUGGUUCUCCUGCUCUUUAAUAAUCCUCUAUUGCGACCACAUGCUGCUAACAACCUGUAUUGAAGGUUUAUGAUGGCAGCCCUCCAGAGUGAACUACUUUAGUUGUGAGGAUGACUGUUAGAUGUAGUAAUCUGUAUUACAGGUUGGAGGAGUUAGUGAUGAAAGAAAAAAUUUUGUUCUGGAGACAGUGACUGCCAUAUUAAAACAAUGAACUGUAUAUGUUACUUAGGGGAAAUGGCUAGGGGCAUUCAUUGUUAGGCACGUCUAUCUCAAAUUUUGUUUGUGCGGCUGAGCUCGUACCAAGAUCUUAUUGUUUGCUUGUUUGUAUGUACACUUAACUUUUCUUAGUCAGAUCAAAUUCCUUAAUAUAAACACCUCUUAUAUUUUGGCUCUAACUUCCCUUCGUGCUUUUGUUUUAAAAUGUUCAACAUGUACUUCCUUUUGAUUGAUAACUUUCUAUCUUACAAGAGGAUCUUAUUCUUGUUAUUGUUUCUUUGUUUUGAUGUCAGAAAGCAAAGAAAGAAGAAAAAAGGUGCAGAAAGUGUGUAGAAUUAGAAGAACUUUCAUUGAGGGCAUGGAGACUUAACAUGUUUACAUGGAUACUUAAUGCUUUGCAUUGUUCUUUCUGAUUGUUUUUCUUCAAUAUUAUAAGUUGAAAUUUUGUUGUUCUUAAGCCUUGGCCUUUUCAGCUUAAUACUUGAGUCGAGAUUGCGUCUAUAGUUUUCUAUCAUAUUGCAGAUUGCCUAUUGAUCACAGGGAGACAUAAGAUAAUGUGAAAUGAUGAUUUUCCAUAAAACAAUUGGUGUUUUCUUUUCAUUUUAAUUUUACUUGGUGUUCGGUG